rnacentral:lncRNA from 10 species
UAUUCCCCAAUGCCUUCUAUUUAUUUUUUUGGGAAUUUUCUGUGAAUACUUGACCAACAUUUAUUGAGCACCUACUGUAUAGGCCCUAUCACAAGUAACAGUCACUUACACUUGCAUUAUCUCAUAUAAUGUUCACUGUCAAUGUAGAUGGGAAAUUGAUGCCCACACUGACAACGGUCCUGGAUCACAUAGCAGUAGGAAGACAGGGCCAGAAUUUGAACCUGUAUUUUCUGAAUCCUGUGAUCUUUCCACGAUGGUUGGUUGGUAUGGCUAUUUGAUACAUAUAUUGGUCAUAAAAUAUAUGUUCUUAUAUCCUUCUCAAAAGUUUAAGAUUGAUGGCUUGUGCAACCAGUCAUGUUACUACACAGUGAUACUUGAGAGUAUUGUAAAAGGCAUCAAAUAUCUAACCCUCCCAACAGAUGUCUCUCUGGCUUAUGCAGAACCUGUAUGACAAGGGACCAGAGAUAUGUGUUGGGUGAUUAUCCUCUGAACUCAGUCUCUACAAAUUUCAGUGUUUAGAAAUACAUGAGAAAUAUAUGUCUUAAGCUGGGCUAAUGGCACAUACAUGAAGUCAUAGUCUAAAUGUGACACAUAAAGUUUGCUGUGUUUUGAAAAGUAUGUUGACCGUCUUUUUGCAUACUCUCUGACACUUGGGAGUUCAACAGCACACCAACCCCUUAUAUUUUGAAGUCUCCUAUCAGAAAAAAAAGAAUUUUUAAUUGGCAUCCCAUGUUCAUAGAACAUGAGUUAACAAAGUAAGAUUUCAGAAAGAAAAGAAUAGGAGAGACUAAAUGUUAUCAUUUAGAGCAAAGAGAAAAGCUCUUUUUCUUUAGGAAUGUGUGGGUGGAGGAGAGGAUUGUUAGCUAUCUGCUCUGUGAUCCUGUGGCAAUCUGAUGAGUAAUUUAGAAGCUUCAAGUGAUUGACAAACCUUGUUGUAUUCUUAUUUUAUAUAUUUAUAUGAAUAAUGGCAUACAUGAAGAUAUUAUAUAUUAACCUUAUCUUAAAGCUUUAAUUAUUGUAAAUACAAAACACAUACAAAAAAGUAUCAAUGACACACACAAAGUUCAAUGAGUUAUUAUCAACACAUGCAUGUGUAAUCCGCACUGUGUCAAAAGUUAGAAUGCUCCCAGAAACCCUGUCUCCAGCAAAUCUGUUCCCAAUCACAGCACCAUUCCUUCUUCCAAAGAUCACUACGCUUCUGACUUUUGAGAAAAUUAUUUAUUUGCUCUCUUAAUACAUUGACCACCUACAUACGCAUCCUUAAACAUGGCAGUUGAGUCUUGCCUUCUUUUGAACUUUAUGUAAA